rnacentral:rRNA from 1 species
AUACGUAGGUGGCAAGCGUUAUCCGGAUUUAUUGGGCGUAAAGGGUGCGUAGGCGGCUUGUUUAGUCUGGGGUGAAAGCGUCGAGCUUAACUCGAUUAAGCCUUAGAUACUGGCAAGCUAGAGUGUAGAAGAGGGUUAUGGAAUUCCAUGUGUAGCGGUAAAAUGCGUAGAUAUAUGGAGGAACACCAGAGGCGAAGGCGGUAACCUGGUCUAUUACUGACGCUCAGGCACGAAAGCGUGGGGAGCAAAUAGGAUUAGAUACCCUAGUAGUCCACGCCAUAAACGAUGAUUACUAAAUGUUGGGGAAACUCAGUGUUGCAGCUAACGCAAUAAGUAAUCCGCCUGGGGAGUAUGCACGCAAGUGUGAAACUUAAAGGAAUUGGCGGGG